rnacentral:rRNA from 1 species
AGGAAUAUUGGUCAAUGGACGCAAGUCUGAACCAGCCAUGCCGCGUGAAGGAUGAAGGUCAUCUGGAUUGUAAACUUCUUUUAUCUGGGACGAAAACGUGAUUUUUAUCUCAAUUGACGGUACCAGAGGAAUAAGCACCGGCUAACUCCGUGCCAGCAGCCGCGGUAGUACGGAGGGUGCGAGCGUUAUCCGGCUUUCCUGGGUUUAAAGGGAUCGUAGGUGGGCUUAUAAGUCAGUGGUGAAAUCUCUGAGCUUAACUUGGAAACGGCCUUUGAUACUAUAGGUCUUGAAUUAGCUGGAGGUAAGUGGAAUAUCUCAUGUAGCGGGGAAAUGCUUAGAUAUGACAUAGAACACCAAUUGCGAAGGCAGCUUACUAGAUAUAAAAUGACGCUGAGGCACUAAAGCGUGGGG